rnacentral:sRNA from 1 species
AGCAGCCGCGGUAAUUCCAGCUCCAAUAGCGUAUAUUAAAGCUGUUGCAGUUAAAAAGCUCGUAGUUGAAUUUCGGGAUCAGUAUGUUGGUCGUGCUUCGGUACGUACUGUCAUUACUGGUUUCUACCUUCUGAAGAACCAUGAUGUCAUUAAUUUGGUGUCAUGGGGAAUCAGGACUGUUACUUUGAAAAAAUUAGAGUGUUUAAAGCAGGCUAACGCUUGAAUACAUUAGCAUGGAAUAAUGAAAUAGGACGUUCGAUCUUAUUUUGUUAGUUUCUAAGAUUGACGUAAUGAUUAAUAGGGAUAGUUGGGGGCAUUAGUAUUCAAUUGUCAGAGGUGAAAUUCUUGGAUUUAUUGAAGACUAACUACUGCGAAAGCAUUUGCCAAGGAUGUUUUCAUUAAUCAGGAACGAAGUUAGGGGAUCGAAGACGAUCAGAUACCGUCGUAGUCUUAACCAUAAACUAUGCCGACUAGGGAUCGGAUGAUGUUAAUUUUUUAAUGA